rnacentral:tRNA from 1 species
GAGAGCUUAGUCUAAAGGGAAAGACGUCAAACAUUGCCUUCUUUUGAAAAUGUGGGUUCAAGUCCCACAGUUCUCU